rnacentral:rRNA from 1 species
UACGGAGGAUGCGAGCGUUAUCCGGAUUUAUUGGGUUUAAAGGGUGCGUAGGCGGAUCGUUAAGUCAGUGGUCAAAUUGAGGGGCUCAACCCCUUCCCGCCAUUGAAACUGGCGAUCUUGAGUGGAAGAGAAGUAUGCGGAAUACGUGGUGUAGCGGUGAAAUGCAUAGAUAUCACGCAGAACCCCGAUUGCGAAGGCAGCAUGCCGGCUUCCUACUGACGCUGAAGCACGAAAGCGUGGGGAUCGAACAGG